UACGGAGGGUGCAAACGUUGCUCGGAAUCAUUGGGCGUAAAGCGCACGUAGGCGGUUCGUUAAGUCGGAUGUGAAAGCCCUCGGCUCAACCGAGGAAGUGCAUACGAAACUGGCGAACUUGAAUAUGGAAGAGGGUCGCGGAAUUCCCGGUGUAGAGGUGAAAUUCGUAGAUAUCGGGAGGAACACCAGUGGCGAAGGCGGCGACCUGGGCCAAUAUUGACGGCUGAGGUGCGAAAGCGUGGGGAGCAAACAGG
rnacentral:rRNA from 1 species